ACAUCCUCAGUGAUCUAGGACUGAAAGUUUCUACUAUUGGUUGGAGAUGGAACUGAAAUCAACAUCAGAGAAAAUUCUACAGUUUCAGCUUUCUGUGGUUGGAAGUUCGCUGUUUGUCCUGGAUGCAAAGUGAAGAAAAGGUAGAUGUACAGGUGGCCUGCCUGAACUCUUUUUCUAAUUUUAUUUACCCAUGAGCACUCAGAAGCCAAGCUCACGGCCUCCUUUGGGAGUCUUCAUACCCUCAGGCAAAGGUGGUCGGCCUCAGGUUCCCAGGUCACAGGACUUAGCCAUUGCUCUCUGUUGUCUGCUCACAAUCUUCCACCCGGUCUCGUAUCUGUUCUCUGUGAAUAUAAGCCUCUUCAGGACACAUGCAGCCAAUAUUACUUCAGGACCUCUCUUGGAUGUCAGUGUUGUUUGGACAUAGAUCUGUGUCAAAAAAAA
rnacentral:lncRNA from 1 species